rnacentral:rRNA from 1 species
AUUGAACGCUGGCGGCAUGCCUUACACAUGCAAGUCGAACGGUAACGGGCCUUCGGGUGCCGACGAGUGGCGAACGGGUGAGUAAUGCAUCGGAACGUACCUUUCAGUGGGGGAUAACGUAGCGAAAGUUACGCUAAUACCGCAUAUUCUGUGAGCAGGAAAGCAGGGGAUCGCAAGACCUUGCGCUGAUUGAGCGGCCGAUGUCAGAUUAGCUAGUUGGUGAGGUAAAGGCUCACCAAGGCGACGAUCUGUAGCGGGUCUGAGAGGAUGAUCCGCCACACUGGAACUGAGACACGGUCCAGACUCCUACGGGAGGCAGCAGUGGGGAAUUUUGGACAAU